GCCUAGCCGUAAACUUUAACUUACACCUCAAUCGCCAGGGAACUACGAGCAAAGCUUAAAACCCAAAGGACUUGACGGUACCCCAAAUCCAUCUAGAGGAGCCUGUCCUAUAAUCGAUAACCCCCGUUUAACCUCACCACUUUUUGUCUAUCAGCCUGUAUACCUCCGUCGUCAGCUUACCACGUGAGCGUUAUUGAGUGAGCUUAAUGCCCCUACGCCAACACGUCAGGUCAAGGUGCAGCUAAUGAAGUGGGAAGAGAUGGGCUACACUUUCUAUAAUAGAAGAAACGAAAGACUACGUAUGAAACCUAGUCAGAAGGAGGAUUUAGUAGUAAAAAGAAAACAGAGUGUUCUUUUUAACCCGGCACUGGGGUGUGUACACACCGCCCGUCACCCUCUUCAAGACCUCAAACAAGUAUAUAACUGAACUUAGUCAUAUAGAAGAGGCAAGUCGUAACAUGGUAAGUAUACCGGAAGGUGUGCUUGGAAA
rnacentral:rRNA from 1 species